rnacentral:rRNA from 1 species
GGGUGCGAUCAUACCAACGUUAAUGCACCGGAUCUCAUCAGAACUCCGCAGUUAAGUGCACAUGGGCUAGAGUAGUACUGGGAUGGGUGACCUCUCGGGAAGUCCUUGUGUUGCAUCCU